AGCGAACGCUGGCGGCAGGCUUAACACAUGCCAGUCGAGCGGGCAUAGCAAUAUGUCCGCGGCAGACGGGUGAGUAACGCGUGGGAACGUACCUUUUGGUUCGGAACAACACAGGGAAACUUGUGCUAAUACCGGAUAAGCCCUUACGGGGAAAGAUUUAUCGCCGAAAGAUCGGCCCGCGUCUGAUUAGCUAGUUGGUGAGGUAAUGGCUCACCAAGGCGACGAUCAGUAGCUGGUCUGAGAGGAUGAUCAGCCACAUUGGGACUGAGACACGGCCCAAACUCCUACGGGAGGCAGCAGUGGGGAAUAUUGGACAAUGGGCGCAAGCCUGAUCCAGCCAUGCCGCGUGAGUGAUGAAGGCCCUAGGGUUGUAAAGCUCUUUUGUGCGGGAAGAUAAUGACGGUACCGCAAGAAUAAGCCCCGGCUAACUUCGUG
rnacentral:rRNA from 1 species